CGAAUGCAUUUUAAAUAAUCUUGUAAAUAAUCUUUUAUCUGCAAUCAGUGUGCCAAGCAAUAUAAGACAGACUCGAUGAUCAUUAAGUUGUAUAAAGCAUUGGAAAGGAUAAAAGUGAUAAAAUGCUAAUGGUUGGAAAUUGAUAAAUUAAUAAAAAAUGAUUGAUUCUAAUUGCGCGAAAAUAUGUUGCUCUAAAGACCCAAACCGAAAAGAAUGCCUAAAGUGGUUUUCAAAAGAUGAAUUGACGAAUUUCUUAAUUCUUUUUGUUUCGUUGUGAUAAUUUGUCGUAUGAGAACGCUAACGAGAAAAAACUUUUUAAAUAUAGAAACAUGCGUAAUAUAAAGUUUACUUAUGCCUAUAAAAAAAUAUGUUUUACAUUAAUUAAUAAAUUAACUUUUUAGUUUCUUGUUAAAAAUUGUAUUCUGUAUUGAAGUUUAUUUCUGAGAAUUUGUAAUUAUACCUAAGAUAAUCUAAUCCUACAUUGUAUUUUAAUUUAUAAAACUCGAUAUUUUAAAAUAAAUAUAUUACUUUUUUAUCGCG